rnacentral:lncRNA from 1 species
AUGGCUCAUCUUAAUUGUCCAAGUUGCUACCAACAUGGAAAUUGGGAUUGGAGCGGCAAUUUAGACCAUUUUGACUCACCAUCUCUGGCUCCGUGGGCACGUACCUCAACUGGAACAUGGCAUGGCUCUCAGAUGCUUCCCUCAGCAUGCCGCCAACAAAACUCUCUAUUUGAUGACUCAUUUUGGCGCCACCCAGGCAUGCCUUUUCCUCCCACUCCGUCCAGAAGCUCAAAUCGGAGUAAAAAGGACUUGAGUCAGGAUAGUUAUGAGGAUGAAUCAUCAAAAGCUAAUGAUCAUAAAUUUUUAUCCAGAACAUCCCCAACACUCUCUAAACAAAACUGUGCAUCAAGUGACUCACAAUCAGAAGGAGAAACAGCAUCAAGGUGUGGCUCUCGGCAUAGGAAAAAAUCACAUGGUGCACAAAGCCGAGAAGCUUCUCCUGCUCUCUCAAAGCACUCUUCGCGACGGUAUAGAAACGAAUUUCUAAAUCGCAGUAGGAGGUUCAAAAAGACAGCUUCAAGAAAUGUGUCUCCCGUACGAUCAAGGAAAAAUAGUCAGCGGGACCUCAGUGACUCGGAUGAUAAUAAUUCGCUCAAAUUGCCCCAAACCAAACUGAUUUUAUCAAAAAUGAAAUCCAAGGAAUCAAAAAUUGAUUCUAGGUCAUCAGUUGAAUCAGUGAGAGACUCAAGUUCUUGUGAAGAUAAUUUAGAGGUGCAAGAAAAGGAGAACAUCCCAUUCGUCCCAGCUGUUGAUUGGGAAUGUCAACAUUGCACAUUUAUAAAUAAACCCGGAUCUAGAAUUUGCUCUGUGUGCUGCAAAACAACAUCCAACCUCCAAAUGAAGAAUGCAGCCAAAGUAGAAGCCUCUGAACAAGAAAGCACGAUAACACAGUCAUUACAAAAGUUAAAUAUUUCCAGCUCUUUCGUGGUUAAUCCUACCAGUAGUACAGAUGUAAUACAUGAUUCUCGUCCAGAAUCAACCGUAGUCAAGGAUAAUGUUCAGCAGUGUGGCAAAGCACUAAAACCUGGGAAUUGUGUUGAUGUAAACAUAGGAAGAAGCGUCGCAUCAACAGGUACUUCACCUCCACCACAAAGCAUAUCAACUCAGGUAACUUAA